rnacentral:rRNA from 1 species
GGGCCCGCACAAGCGGUGGAGCAUGUGGUUUAAUUCGACGCAACGCGAAGAACCUUACCUGGAUUUGACAUCCCGGGAAUUUUGUUGAAAGACGAAAGUGCCCUUCGGGGAGCCCGGAGACAGGUGCUGCAUGGCUGUCGUCAGCUCGUGUCGUGAGAUGUUGGGUUAAGUCCCGCAACGAGCGCAACCCUUGUCUUUAGUUACCAUCAUUCAGUUGGGGACUCUAAAGAUACUGCCCCGGUCAACGGGGAGGAAGGUGGGGAUGACGUCAAGUCCUCAUGGCCUUUAUGUCCAGGGCUACACACGUGCUACAAUGGGCGGUACAAAGGGUCGCAAGCCCGCGAGGGUGAGCCAAUCCCAAAAGCCGUCCAAGUUCGGAUUGGAGUCUGCAACUCGACUCCAUGAAGCUGGAAUCGCUAGUAAUCGCGGAUCAGCAUGCCGCGGUGAAUACG